rnacentral:sRNA from 1 species
UUUAGACUUGAUCCUUCAAAUUGAUCGCCCUUGUCUCAAGAACGUCAACUCUUUGCGAAUGUGUUUAGUGUGGUGAAAGGUGAACAAGAGUAGCGGAUCUUAGGUUCUGACCACCCUCAAGUUGCUGAAAAAAUUCAUUCCCGGAAAGAAAAAUAUUUUAAAAACAAUAAUAAAGAGACAACGGACAUUUGAAGACCAUUUGUUAUUCUUGAGGAAGAAAUAUAUAACUACAUGCAACGAAACAAACAAUGGAAUAUUUACUAAUAGUAUUUUCUGUAGCACUUUAUGCCUUAGACUCUCAAGCUACUAUUGUGUGUGAGGACGUAGAGAUGGACUGUGCCAGACUGGACAUUGAGCGGAAUAUUUGUACUGACCCAUUGGAGUCAUCAGUAUACUGUGCCAAAUAUUGUGGUCACUGUACAA